GCGAGUGAAGCGGCAACAGCUCAAAUUUGAAAGCUGGCUUAGGCCCGCAUUGUAAUUUGCAGAGGAUGCUUCUGGCGAGGUGCCUUCCGAGUUCCCUGGAACGGGACGCCAUAGAGGGUGAGAGCCCCGUAUGGAUGGACACCAAACCUGUGUGAAGCUCCUUCAACGAGUCGAGUAGUUUGGGAAUGCUGCUCUAAAUGGGAGGUAAAUCUCUUCUAAAGCUAAAUACCGGCCAGAGACCGAUAGCGCACAAGUAGAGUGAUCGAAAGAUGAAAAGCACCUUGAAAAGGGGGUUAAACAGUACGUGAAAUUGUUGAAAGGGAAGCGCUUGUGACCAGACUUGCGCCGGGCAGCUCAUCAGGGGUUCUCCCCUGUGCACUCUGCCCGGCUCAGGCCAGCAUCGGUUUUCGUGGGAGGAUAAGAACGGUAGGAACGUGGCCCCCCUCCGGGGGGGUGUUAUAGCCUACCGUACGAUACUCCCGUGGGGACCGAGGUUCGCGCUCCGCAAGGAUGC
rnacentral:rRNA from 1 species